AUGCCCCUGGUUAUUUUGAGGAGCUGGUCACAGUCAAUUGUGAGAUUCUCCAUUUGUCUUAUGUUUUUACUGAAUAUAUCAGCUGAACAUCCCUCCGAGCAGCGCAACACUUCUGAUGUUUUUCUCAAAUCAUUGUCGGAUAUUGUGCAAGAAUUAGAAUUAAGGAGAAGGAUGACCAGCCCAAUCAAAGGUGAUGAAUUGCCUGAAGUAAGAGAGCCCUACUUGUAUGGAGACAAUUUGGCAGCAUGUCAGGAAGAACACUCCCAUUCACACGCUGAUUACAUGGCCGGGUCACUUUCAAUGCUUAACAGAAAUGAUCCAUUCAUCAAAAUUUCCCAGUUUAAGGAAGUCAGGAAAUUUAAAAGACAGCUUAGGAACCAAAGCUCUGGCUCUAGGAAGCAAGUUUCUCGGAAGCCAAAUAGGAUGCAUGCUGAGUUCAAUCUUGGUUCUCAGAAUGUUUCACUCUCAGACAAUAUUUCUCCCAGGAAUUCAUCACCUGAUAAUAAGUUGUCAGUAAAUGGUAACAAAAGCAGAAAGGAUGUUCAGUCUCCUAAUCCACCCUCUCUCAGCAGACUUCAGCAAGGAAAUACAUGAAUUUCAUUAUUUCCCUUGAAAUCAUUCGCCACGGCUUCUAGUCUCAUCAGCAAGAAGGCUGCACACUCUGGACUCAAAACAGAAGUUAAGAGUAAGAUGCAGUUUUUAACACCUCUUAUUCUAUUGAAUAUGUCCUCUUCAACUGAAGCCUACUCCUGGAAUGAAUCGUCAGCAAAUCCAUCAAUGAAAUUGACAGUUGAAACAUCGACAUUCAAAAAG
rnacentral:lncRNA from 1 species